rnacentral:rRNA from 1 species
GACGAACGCUGGCGGCGUGCUUAUCACAUGCAAGUCGAACGGAAAGGCCCUGCUUGCCGGGUACUCGAGUGGCGAACGGGUGAGUAACACGUGGGUGAUCUGCCCUGCACUUCGGGAUAAGCCUGGGAAACUGGGUCUAAUACCGGAUAGGAGCCAUUUUUAGUGUGAUGGUUGGAAAGUUUUUUCGGUGUAGGAUGAGCUCGCGGCCUAUCAGCUUGUUGGUGGGGUAAUGGCCUACCAAGGCGGCGACGGGUAGCCGGCCUGAGAGGGUGGACGGCCACAUUGGGACUGAGAUACGGCCCAGACUCCUACGGGAGGCAGCAGUGGGGAAUAUUGCACAAUGGGCGCAAGCCUGAUGCAGCGACGCCGCGUGGGGGAUGACGGCCUUCGGGUUGUAAACUCCUUUCGCUAGGGACGAAGCUUUUUGUGACGGUACCUAGAUAAGAAGCACCGGCUAACUACGUG